CUAUGAUGAGAUACCAGCUGGAGCAGAACUUCAUCCUAUAAAUGGAGGAUCAAACCACAGUGAUGCCACAUACGACACCAUCGCUGAGCUGCCACAGACUGGAAACGACACCAGUAACACCUAUUUUCCACAUUCCUUGACUGCUUCCACUUUCCAUGCUGGAAAUAAUAAAGGAGGAUCAGACCACAGUGAUGCCACAUACGACACCAUCGCUGAGCUGCCACAGACUGCAAACACGACCGAUUCUCCAUAUUCUGUGAUUGGUGCCACGUUUAGUGAUGGAAAUAAAAAAAGGUUCUUCACAGCCCGUCAACAACACGUAUGUCUUACUGGAGAAACCCAAAGCAUCCAGAAGCAGGCCGGACCGGUGUAGCUUCACCUGAAUGUCCUGCUGUCAGGAACAGUCUGCACAGCACAGAUGUUCAUGGGAACAUGUAACACGCAUAUGUCGAGAUUAUUCUGAAUUAUU